GGCCUACCCAUGGUGGUAACGGGUAACGGGGUGUUAGGGCACGACACCGGAGAGGGAGCNUGAGAAACGGCUACCACAUCCAAGGAUGGCAGCAGGCGCGCAAAUUACCCAAUCCCGACACGGGGAGGUAGUGACAAUAAAUAACAAUACGGGGUUCUUUAGGAUUUCGUAAUUGGAAUGAGUACAAUUUAAAUCUCUUAACGAGGAACAAUUGGAGGGCAAGUCUGGUGCCAGCAGCCACGGUAAUUCCAGCUCCAAUAGCGUAUAUUAAAGUUGUUGCAGUUAAAAAGCUCGUAGUUGAAUUUCGGGAUCAAUAUGUUGGUCGUGCCUCGGUACGUACUAGCUUAUUGGUUUCUCCUUUCUGAAGAACCAUGAUGUCAUUUAUUUGGUGUCGUGGGGAAUCAGGACUGUUACUUUGAAAAAAUUAGAGUGUUUAAAGCAGGCUCACGCUUGAAUACAUUAGCAUGGAAUAAUGAAAUAGGACGUUUGAUUCUAUUUUGUUGGUUUUUAGGAUCGACGUAAUGAUUAAUAGGGAUAGUUGGGGGCAUUAGUAUUCAAUUGUCAGAGGUGAAAUUCUUGGAUUUAUUGAAGACUAACUACUGCGAAAGCAUUUGCCAAGGAUGUUUUCAUUAAUCAAGAACGAAAGUUAGGGGAUCGAAGACGAUCAGAUACCGUCGUAGUCUUAACCAUAAACUAUGCCGACUAGGGAUCGGAUGAUGUUAAUUUUUUAAUGACUCAUUCGGCGCCUUACGGGAAACCAAAGUGUUUGGGUUC
rnacentral:rRNA from 1 species